rnacentral:rRNA from 1 species
UACGGAGGGUGCAAGCGUUGUCCGGAAUCACUGGGCUUACAGGGUGCGUAGGCGGCUUUUCAAGUCAGGUGUGAAAGCCCCCGGCUCAACCGGGGAAUUGCGCUUGAAACUGGAGAGCUCGAGUCAGCUAGAGGUGCACGGAACUUCCAGUGGAGCGGUGAAAUGUGUUGAUAUUGGAAGGAACACCGGAGGCGAAAGCGGUGCACUGGGGCUGGUCUGACGCUGAGGCACGAAAGCCAGGGGAGCGAACGGG